rnacentral:rRNA from 1 species
GUGCCAGCAGCCGCGGUAAGACGAACCGUGCGAACGUUGUUCGGAAUCACUGGGCUUAAAGGGCGCGUAGGCGGGCCGUCAAGUCCGGGGUGAAAUCCUCCAGCCUAACUGGAGAAGCGCCUCGGAGACUGGCGGCCUCGAGGAGGGUAGGGGCAAGCGGAACUAUGGGUGGAGCGGUGAAAUGCAUUGAUAUCCAUAGGAACUCCGGUGGCGAAGGCGGCUUGCUGGACCCUUUCUGACGCUGAGGCGCGAAAGCCAGGGGAGCGAACGGGAUUAGAUACCCCAGUAGUCC